GAUGAACGCUGGCGGCGUGCUUAACACAUGCAAGUCGAACGGAAAGGCCCAAGCUUGCUUGGGUACUCGAGUGGCGAACGGGUGAGUAACACGUGGGUGAUCUGCCCUGCACUUCGGGAUAAGCCUGGGAAACUGGGUCUAAUACCGGAUAGGACCACUUCUUGGAUGUUGUGGUGGAAAGUUUUUUCGGUGUGGGAUGAGCUCGCGGCCUAUCCGCUUGUUUGUGGGGUAAUGGCCUACCAAGGCGUCGACGGGUAGCCGGCCUGAGAGGGUGUACGGCCACAUUGGGACUGAGAUACGGGCCAGACUCCGACGGGAGGCAGCAGUGGGGAAUAUUGCACAAUGGGCGCAAGCCUGAUGCAGCGACGCCGCGUGGGGGAUGACGGCCUUCGGGUUGUAAACUCCUUUCGCGAGGGACGAAGCGUUUUGUGACGGUACCUGGAGAAGAAGCACCGGCUAACUACGUG
rnacentral:rRNA from 1 species